rnacentral:rRNA from 1 species
UCGUCAGCUCGUGUCGUGAGAUGUUGGGUUAAGUCCCGUAACGAGCGCAACCCUUGUCCUUAGUUACCAGCACGUAAUGGUGGGCACUCUAAGGAGACUGCCGGUGACAAACCGGAGGAAGGUGGGGAUGACGUCAAGUCAUCAUGGCCCUUACGGCCUGGGCUACACACGUGCUACAAUGGUCGGUACAGAGGGUUGCCAAGCCGCGAGGUGGAGCUAAUCCCAGAAAACCGAUCGUAGUCCGGAUCGCAGUCUGCAACUCGACUGCGNGAAGUCGGAAUCGCUAGUAAUCGCGAAUCAGAAUGUCGCGGUGAAUACGUUCCCGGGCCUUGUACACACCGCCCGUCACA